GAUGGGAUUCAUGUCCUUAUAAGAAGAGAAAGAGAUGGAGCUUGCUUUCUCUGCUCUCUACCAUGUGAGGACACACCAAGAAGGCAGAUAGCUGCAAACCAGAGAGCGAGCCCUCACCAAGAACCAAAUCUGCCGGUGACUUGAUGUUGGACUUCUUAGCCUCCACAAUGUUAGCCAUGAGAUAACGAAAUCAUGAUUCAAACAAUCAAAUCCAAACUUUCCAUUGCCCGGCUGGUGAGUGCCUCUCUUCUUUCUGCAAAUUGUAUCAGCUCUUUCUCUGACCAGUCUCUGCGAAGCAGAAAGUAGAAGCAAUCAGUCAUCUUCAGAACUUAGCCCAUAGCAAGCUUCAUGGAGAUCUUGAUAUUCUCCUGUCCUUAAGUCCUUUUAAAAUGAGAGCAGAGAUUCAAGAGGGAAGAACUGCAGAGGUGAAGAGCAGAGAGCUGUGUUCUUGGAGAAAUAUCAGUGAGGACACUUGCAGAACUUUAAGUCUAGCAAGGAAGAAAGCCGUUAAAUAAAUGAAAAGAAGCACUGAUAAAAAUAAAAUUGUGAUAAGUGCUAUAAAGGGAAAGAACAAAGUAUGAUGAGAGCAUAUUAUCACCAGAUCAGAUCUAGCCAGGAAAAUUUCCCCAUGGAAAUGACAUUUCAGCUGUAGCCUGGAAGAUGAGGAGUAACUCAGGUGAAAGUGUGCCAUUUCUUUGAGAUGAGGGACCUUGUCUGUUUUGGUCAUCACUCUACUCCAAAGGUUUUGUUGCAGGUGGAAGUCUGUAGCUCAAAAGGAAGUGAUCAAGAUUUUAUGUAAAGCUUUUGUGUUGGUGUAGUCAAACACGGCAUGAAGACAACGCUAAACCCGAUACUAUGGAGGACAAUUUUUAAUCAGCUUACAGAGAUUUGGAGUUUAUCAUUCUUCCCUUCCCUCCCCCCACCUAAUGGCAUAUAAGGACUUCAAUGGUUAAAAUAUAGCCUUAAGUUGGCCCCUCAGCCACCAGAGAAUUGGAUUGUAUCUCUUAUAAGCAAGGAAGCUGUCCAUGUGGGAAGCAUCACUCCCAUGGGAUAUUUGUAUGACUGUUCAAAUUUAAACUAUAUAUCUGGGGAAAAGAAAGAA